AAGAGAUUACUUGCAAGCUCUGCGGCCAGACUUGGGGUGUAGGAAGUGUUUGUUUUUGUUUCUGUCACCAGGCAGCAGGGAACUCGUCGCCUUUGUUCUGGAGGUCAUGCUGCUAGAGAUGGCAAAUAUUGACAUACAUGGAGCCUUACAGGCUGCCAGGAAGUACAAAGGGAUUUCUCUCUCUCUGCACCAGAAAAUGAGAUGGUAACCAGUAAGGUCAGUAUCAGUGCCUCAAUUGCAAUCAGCUGUUUUAUCUGCUCCACAAUCAAGAGCUAUCUGCAUUAACAAAGAACC
rnacentral:lncRNA from 1 species